AACGAACGCUGGCGGCAGGCCUAACACAUGCAAGUCGAACGCUCCGCAAGGAGAGUGGCAGACGGGUGAGUAACACGUGGGAAUCUUCCUAUCGGUACGGAAUAGCUCAGGGAAACUUGAGGUAAUACCGCAUACGCCCUUCGGGGGAAAGAUUUAUCGCCGAUAGAGGAGCUCGCGUCUGAUUAGCUAGUUGGUGGGGUAAUGGCCCACCAAGGCGACGAUCAGUAGCUGGUCUGAGAGGAUGACCAGCCACACUGGGACUGAGACACGGCCCAGACUCCUACGGGAGGCAGCAGUGGGGAAUAUUGGACAGUGGGCGCAAGCCUGAUCCAGCCAUGCCGCGUGAGUGACGAAGGUCUUCGGAUUGUAAAGCUCUUUUGCCAGGGACGAUAAUGACGGUACCUGGAGAAUAAGCCCCGGCUAACUUCGUGCCAACAGCCGCCGUAACAC
rnacentral:rRNA from 1 species